CUCAACCUCCCGGAUCCCGCGCUGCGGGUCCGCUACGAAUUUCGAGUACCGGGUUCUCAACCUCCCGGAUCCCGCGCUUCGGGUCCGCUACCUGGUGAAACUCGACUUCCAGGACAAGGUGGAGGAGAAGGAUUUCUACACAGUACAACCCAAGGUGGUUAUCGGUGGUCGUUGGAUGUGGUUGGCGAUGGUUGAAGGUGUUCGGAGUUGGACGAGGAGGAGGACGAGGAAGACAAGGAGAUGAAGGUGGACGAGGAUUUGUGCUCGGUAUAACCCGAGGUGGUUGGCGGUGGUUGGAGGUGGUCGGAGGUGUACGAGGUGGACCAGGAGGAGGA